UAGCCGUAAACGAUACUCGCUAGGUGUCGGCCACGGUGCGACCGUUGUCGGUGCCGUAGGGAAGCCGUGAAGCGAGCCACCUGGGAAGUACGGCCGCAAGGCUGAAACUUAAAGGAAUUGGCGGGGGAGCACAACAACGGGUGGAGCUUGCGGUUUAAUUGGAUUCAACGCCGGAAACCUUACCGGGACCGACAGCAACAUGAAGGCCAAGCUGAAGACUUUGCCGGAUUAGCUGAGAGGAGGUGCAUGGCGUAGUCGUG
rnacentral:rRNA from 1 species